rnacentral:lncRNA from 1 species
UCGAAAAUAAAUAAGUCGCAUGGGGUGUGAGAAGGCAAGGGAGCUGGGAGCACUGGAGGGAUGGCACCCACUUUGGCCUGGUCUCUCUGAGAAGCUCCACAUGUGGGAAGGCUUGGAGGAAAGCAGCGACGCACCCCCGGCCUUCCUGCAGGGCACACGGGCCCCGACCAGGACCAUCACUGAAGUUCAGGCACCAGAAAAGUUUCCAGAAGUGAAAUUGCUGGGAUAGUUACAUGUAAAGAAGAGUUUUUU